rnacentral:rRNA from 1 species
GAUGAACGCUGGCGGCGUGCUUAACACAUGCAAGUCGAACGGAAAGGCUCCUGCUUGCAGGGGUACUCGAGUGGCGAACGGGUGAGUAACACGUGGGUGAUCUGCCCUGCACUUCGGGAUAAGCCUGGGAAACUGGGUCUAAUACCGGAUAGGACCACAUUUUGGAUGGUGUGGUGGAAAGUUUUUCGGUGUGGGAUGAGCUCGCGGCCUAUCAGCUUGUUGGUGGGGUAAUGGCCUACCAAGGCGUCGACGGGUAGCCGGCCUGGGAGGGUGUACGGCCACAUUGGGACUGAGAUACGGCCCAGACUCCUACGGGAGGCAGCAGUGGGGAAUAUUGCACAAUGGGCGCAAGCCUGAUGCAGCGACGCCGCGUGGGGGAUGACGGCCUUCGGGUUGUAAACUCCUUUCGCUAGGGACGAAGCGAAAGUGACGGUACCUGGAGAAGAAGCACCGGCUAACUACGUG